rnacentral:rRNA from 1 species
AACGUAGGACACAAGCGUUAUCCGGAGUUACUGGGCGUAAAGGGCGUGUAGGCGGACCUAUAAGUCUAUUCUGAAAGCUCCUGGCAUAACUGGGAGAGGCGAAUGGAGACUGUAGAUCUAGAGUGAGGAAGAGGAAAGUGGAAUUCCGCGUGUAGUGGUGAAAUGCGUAGAGAUGCGGAGGAACACCAGUGGCGAAGGCGAUCAUCUGGGGCUGUUCUGACGCUGAGGAGCGAAAAGCUAGGGGAGCAAACGGGG